CAGGCAACAGAGAGGAGACGAAUUGUCGAGGCAGUGGCAGGAGUCGUGUGAUUCUGCCCAGAGCUUGCAGGAGCCUGAGAGCCUGGACCAUCCUAGAGUGCAUUACAUAUGGGGUCCUUUACAAUCUUAAAGAUCUGUCAUGCUUCCCUGUAACAUCAUCUUGGUCCAAUCAUAAACAAGAUUCAAAAGUGAAC